GCCCCAUAACCAAAAAAAUAGAGCAUAGCCGCCCCAUAGAGCCAUAGAGCCCCAUAGCCCCAAGCCCCCAUAGAGCCCCAUAGAGCCCCAUAGAGCCCCAUAGGCAGCCCCAUAGGCCCGCCCCCCAUAGCGCCCAUAGAGCCCCAUAGAGCCCCAUAGAGCCCCAUAGAGCCCCAUAGAGCCCCAUAGAGCCCAUAGAGCCCCAUAGAGCCCCAUAGCCGCCCCAGAGCCCAUCCCCCCAUAGAGCCCCCAUAGCCGCCCCAUAGAGCCCCAUAGAGCCCCAUAGAGCCCCAUAGACCCCCCAUAGAGCCCCACAGAGCCCCAUAGAGCCCCAUACCCGCCCCAUAGAGCCCCAUAGAGCCCCAUAGAGCCCCAUAGCCGCCCCAUAGAGCCCCAUAGAGCCCCAUAGCCACCCCCAUAGAGCCCCAUAGAGCCCCAUAGCCGCCCCAUAGAGCCCCAUAGAGCCCCAUAGACGCCCCAUAGAGCCCCAUAGAGCCCCAUAGAGCCCCAUAGCCACCCCAUAGAGCCCCAUAGAGCCCAUAGAGCCCCAUAGCAGCCCCAUAGAGCCCCAUAGAGCCCCAUAGAGCCCCCAUAGAGCCC
ensembl:lncRNA